CUUAGGUCACAUGCCCAUCUCUGAGCCAAUCACCUGGCUAACAAUGCUCUGAUUGGCCAGGUGUGGGUCAAGGCUCUGCCCCUUGAGGGGGUGGAGCCUCACAGGACCAUCCUGUACUGAAGAGUCUUGGCGGGUGAAGGAACUCCAGGGUUCUGCUCAUAUUAGAAAGGGGAGUGUAGCUAAAAAUAGCAACCAUUCUUAAAACAGAGGAGGGAGAAUUCUCACCUGGUUCUAAGUUUGUAUUAGCAAAUGGGAGCGAGACCACCUCCCCUCCCCCCACCGCCCCGCCCCGCCCCGCUGGCUUUGAGGAAUUAAGCUGUAUGCUGGGCGCAGCUUAAUUGGUCUCUGAGAGCCGAGAGCCAGCCCCUGCGGACCACCAGCAAGAAAGUGGGACUCUCAGUCCUAGUGAAUUCUGCCAACAACUGAAGGGGAUUUGCAAGAGAAACCGGAGCCUCAGAUGGGAUGGCAACCCUGCUGACACCUGGAUUCCAGCCUGUGAAAUAAGAAUGAGCCACUGAUUCAUCCAACAACAUGGGUACAUCUCAAAUUCAUCUUGCUAAAUGAAAGAAGAUGUGUGAUUUCAUUUACAUGACAUUCUGGAAAAGACGACGCUAGAAGAACAGUAGACAGAUCAGUGGUUGUAGGAACAGGUAGCCGGAAGUCCUGACGUGUAGUGCUUGCCCAUUUCCAUGGUGUAAAUACUCCCAGCACUGCCGAUCUCAAGAUGCCAACAGCUUAACCUCUGCACAAAAUUCCUGAAAACUGCUGGCAUGCUACUGAACACUGUGUAAAAUUAUGCCUCAAUAAA